UACAGGGGGGGCAAGCGUUGUUCGGAAUUACUGGGCGUAAAGGGCUCGUAGGCGGCCGGCUAAGUCCGACGUGAAAUCCCCAGGCUUAACCUGGGAACUGCGUCGGAUACUGGCGGGCUUGAAUCCGGGAGAGGGAUGCGGAAUUCCAGGUGUAGCGGUGAAAUGCGUAGAUAUCAGGAGGAAUACCGGUGGCGAAGGCGGCAUCCUGGACCGACAUUGACGCUGAUGAGCGAAAGCCAGGGGAGCAAACAGG
rnacentral:rRNA from 1 species